rnacentral:rRNA from 1 species
AGUGAACGCUGGCGGUAGGCCUAAUACAUGCAAGUCGAACGGAAGCACAGUAAGAGCGUGCCCUUACGGGUGGCGAGGGGCGGGCGGGUGACACAUGGAUAGGAAACUACUUUUACGGGGGGGACAACGGGAGGAAAGAGAUGAUACUAGCGAAUACAACGUACGGGAGGAAGCAGGAGAUAAAGAGAGCUUUGCUGACAGAAAUAGACGAUGUCGCAUUAGCUAGUUGGGUGGGUAAAGGCACACCAAGGCAACGAUACGUAGCGGGGCUGAGAGGAUGAUCAGCCACACUGGAACUGAGACACGGUCCAGACUCCUACGGGAGGCAGCAGUGGGGAAUCUUGGACAAUGGGCGCAAGCCUGACCCAGCCACGCCGCGUGAGUGAAGAAGGUCUUCGGAUUGUAAAGCUCUGUUGUUAGGGAAGAACAGCUGCGUAAUUAUCCCCCCCUGUUUUGACGGUACCUAAAGAGUAAGCCCCGGCUAACUUCGUG